rnacentral:lncRNA from 1 species
CGGCGGAGAGGCGGCCAGCGGCGGCGCGGCGGAGAGGCGGAUAGCGGCGGAGAGGCGGACAGCGGCGGCGCGGCGGAGAGACGGACAGCGGCGGAGAGGCGGACAGCGGCGGAGAGGCGGACAGCGGCGGCGCGGCGGAGAGACGGACAGCGGCGGAGAGGCGGACAGCGGCGGCGCGGCGGAGAGACGGAUAGCGGCGGAGAGGCGGACAGCGGCGGCGCGGCGGAGAGGCGGACAGCGGCGGAGAGGUGGACAGCGGCGGAGAGGCGGACAGCGGCGGCGCGGCGGAGAGACGGACAGCGGCGGAGAGGCGGACAGCGGCGGCGCGGCGGAGAGGCGGACAGCGGCGGCGCGGCGGAGAGACGGACAGCGGCGGAGAGGCAGACAGCGGCGGCGAGGCGCGCAGCGGCGGCGCAGGCGCGGAGAGGCGCUGGCGCCGGCUCUGGCGCGGAGAGGUGCAGGCCCAGGCUCCACUCCCCAGCUGUGAAAGGGUAAGAACCGAGGGUGGCUGAGACUCGGGGUUGUUCAGGGCGGGGUGGGCUCUGGACCCAGCAGGCCCGGCACCCAGGUCAGGGCUCCAGGGGAGGCCAGGUGGGCGAAGGCCAAGAAGGGGCUGGGGCUGGUCAGGAAGGGCUCCUGGUGACCAGAGCACUUUGCGUGAGCCAGCGUGGGAGGAAGGUGGGCUAGAUGAGCCAGGGAGGCGCCGGGAGGGGCCUUGGCAGAGGCGACCCCCUCCGUCACCCCCAGGCCACUGAACCCUGGGUAGCGAGAACCGACAGGGGAGGCUGCAGACAGAGGAGUGGAGGCUCCCCGGCUUUGGGGGCUCUGAGUAGAAGCAUCUAGGGGGUCCCUCAAGAGGCCCCCAAACGCUUCCCCAUGGUGAGAAAAGAAGGCGCAGAGAGGGGCACGGCGCCGGCGCAGAGGGGCACACAGCGAGAUUUGCUGUGAGUUCUUUUAUUGCCCCAAGUGUACCUCAUCUUGGUAGAUUUCUAUUGGCUUUAAAAAUGUGUGUGUUUUGCUGUUGGGGAGUGGGGUGUUAUACGGAUGUCAGAUUUUGCUGGUUGACUGUUCAGAUCUUUUGUAAAUCCUUGCUCCUUUUCUGCCUAGUUUCACUCUGUCACUUACACUAGAGUGCGGUGGCACGAACAUGACUCACUGCAGCCUUGACUUCCUAGGGUCAAGUACUCCCCCUGGCUUAAUCUCCUGAGUAGCUGGUACUAUAGGUGUGUGCCGCCACACCUGGCUAAAUUUAAAAUUUUUUGGAGAGAUGAGGCCUUGCUAUGUUGCCCAGGCUCGAACUCCUGGCCUCAAGCUAUCCUUUGUUUUUGCCUCCCAGAGUUCUGGGAUUACAGGCAUGAGCCACUGUGCCCGGCCUCUGCCUAGUUUUAACAGUUGCUAAGAGGAGGAUGUUGAAGUAGAUGUCUUCUUGGUGGGUUAAUCCUUUUGUCAUUAAGCAGUUGUUAUGGUCACUUCCUUUUCACCCCAUUGGUGAAGGAGGGGUCCCUGCCCUAAAGUGUAGGAGAUGGCCGAACAUGACACCUGGCGUGGAUGGAUGAGAUUGACAGCAGUGUUUUAGUCGCAUAUACCCACAGCUCGGAGGAGGACACUGCAUGCCACACAGGGUUUUCUGCCUCCUGCUAAGCCAAUUUAUACAUUCCAAGAAAAUCUUCCAUUUCAUCCAGGUGAAACGGAACCUACUGGAAUGAAGCUGGCCUCCCAUGGAAUGAAGCUGGCCUCCCGUCUCCUUGAUUUGAAGCAGCUUCUCCACGUUGGUUAUUAUGCCAUUUUUCUAAAUCUAACAUUUUAAAAUUUGUGCCUUUUCUUUCUCUUUUGCUUGACUUCUCAGAGGUUUUUUUAACGGUCUUUUCAAAGAAGUGGUUUUGGGUUUUAUUUAUCAAGUCUACUUUUAUUAUGGCUGUUUUAAAAUUAAAUACAUUUAUUUCUUGUUUCCCUUAAAAAAGCUUC